AUUUCGAAUCAUCUUUUUGUCGUUGUUAAAACGUGUUAACCAAAGCCGCGUAUUAGAAUCGUCUUUUUUGAAGUACAAAACACCAAUUAACUGUAACUUUUAAUUGACUCGUACAAAGGUGGCGGCAUAACUAAGAAAUUUGAAGAAAAAUACCAAAAUUUAUUUCUUUAGUCAUUAAACAAGCUAGUUAACGUACGCACUCUUUGGUAUGAUUCAGCAGAAAAUAAAAUCGAAUGGGGGAUACAUAAUAGAGUUCAUAAAAUUUUAUGAUGUUCUUAGUUGGAUGAAAUAGUAUUUUGAAGUAAAUACAAUACGAGAACUAAAACAGGAAUUUGGUUAUUACGAGGAUAGUCCAAGAAGUAUUAGGCCAGAAAUUACAACACAACAUGGAAAAUCAGUUAGACAAUUACCAAAACGAUCGAAAUCUAGAUGGUAGAUGGUAGAUUUAAUGUAUGGGGAUUUAUUCUGUUUGUAUGAUUAUUUAAUAAACAAAAUGAGCGUUGAUUAUAUAGAAAACGAGAAUUUCUCCAUGAAAGCUUUUUCAAGUUUCUCAAAAUAAAUAUCUUGGCGGUAUAUUUCUGAACGUGUUCACAACAAAUCAAAUCAAUAUUUCAUAUUUGAAACGUAAUAUAUUUUUUGUUAUAUACCAAUUUUUAUUGGUAAAAAAAUUUGUAGAUAAGGAAAUUUUAAAUACCUGAGGAUAUUUCAUUUGGAAAUGUUUUUUUUAUUAUUUUUCUAGCUGAAAGGCAUUGAAGGUUUCAUGGCUAAUAAACUCGCAACGCAAAUGACCCGUUCGUCCGUGGAGGGCGCCUCGUUCGUUCUUUUAUAAAGGAAAUCGGGGAGCCAAAACAAAAAUUUAAUGUUUAGAGAGUGAAGGGUGAAUGUUUAGAAUGUGAGGGCGCCUUCUCAAGAGACUGUAAAUCAUUUGGGAUUCGAAUCGAAAUCAGGGAAAUGUCUUGGAAUUGAGUUUUUCCAGUUUUCUUCAAUGGAACUUAUUCACUGCUCCUAUUAGAAUAUAGUCAAUAAAACGGAAUUUACAGAUAUUAUUGGAAUAACUUCUAUUUUGAUUUUUAUUCAAAAUUUCCUUAUUUCUUUUUGGAUUUCUUUUAUAAAUUUAAUGAGAUACUGUACAAAUAUAAUUCAAGAUGCUAUCCACCGGACCGGUUCGCUUUUGCAGCAAUAUAUUUUCAAUUUAGAUCGAAAUAAAAUGUCUUUACAAUCAAAGAACGAUAUCGGUGGUUAUUAUCCUUUUUGAAAUGAAUCGAUAUAAAAGGAAAUUCAGUGGUCAGCAAUGGUCAAGUUCUGUUUGAUGUGGAAAAAGCGAUUUGCCAAUUUCACGAUAAAUUUCUUCUUGUACAAGAAAAAUAGUUUUUUUUUUCCAUACGUAUAUACACAAGGUGUUCGGUGUUAUAAUAUUUCCUAUACCAAUUUUGGAUUUGGUGGUAGAAUGUAAAACUGUCGCCAAAAUUUGAAAAAAUUUAAAAUAUUGGUGAACGUGCGAAUAUGAAGCGUUUUAUUCUCGUAAAUCUUCUCGAAUUUGUUGAAAUUUUUCAAUACAAAUUCUCAUUAUUGUAAAAAUAAGGAAUAUUGAUAUUUAUUUCCAAUAUUUCACUUUUAAUACGUUCAAAUUUUAUUUCCGACAUGAUAAUACUUUAAUAAAUGACUAAAUAACCAAAUCUCAAUACUUUUUUCUGAUUAUUUUCGAACGAAUAGUUUUUAUUCAACGACAAACCAUAAUAAUUAUUUGUUUUAAAAAUAAAUCCGCGCUCUUGUUAUUACAGAUUAUCCGAAUGGCCGCGAGCUGUAGCGCCUUCUUGGAUCUGUUCCUAUCGAUAAGGAUUAUGGUCCGAUUUGGUCCCGGAAAGUUUUUCAGUUGUUUUGGGGGAGAUAAAAUUGAUUUACUGUCGUCAUAUGUAAUCAUCAGAUACAAGAUAUCUACGGUGUGUUAUCUGGAACGAUAAUGAUGAACUAUUCUUUUAUCUAAAUCGAUAUUCAAUUGUGUAUUGAACUAAUUAAUUGAUCAGUGUUGAAUAAAUAACCGUCAAUCGUCUUCGAAAAUUGUUUUUUCGAAUCGUCGACUGUUGCUAGAGAUCUUCUUUUGCAAAAGAAAUAAGUCAAUUGUCGUUAGAGACUCAAUAUUACAAGAACAAACCAUCGAUGAUUGGUAGAGGGUCUCACUUACCUGAACAAACCAUCCGUUGUCGUUAAAGACACUUUUUCACAAGAACAAACCGACAGAUUCUUUUUUAAAUGAACAAACUCCCAAUUUUCGUUAGAAAAUUUUACAAUUUGUUCCAGACUCUCUUUCACAAGAACAAACCAUCCGUUAUCGUUAGAGAAUUUCUUUAACAGGAAUAUUCUUUUUUAAAUUAACAAACCACCAAUUGUCGUUAGAAACUUUUAGAAUUUGUUUCAGACUCUUUUUCAUAAGAACAAACCAUCUUUUGUCGUCCCGUUUAACAGGAACAAACCGUCAAUUGUCCUUAGAAACGUUCUUUCAGAUGAACAAACCGCCAAUUGUCGUUAGAAACUUUUAGAAUUUGUUUCAUACUCUUUUUCAUAAGAACAAACCAUCUUUUGACGUCCCGUUUAACAGGAACAAACCGUCAAUUGUCCUUAGAAACGUUCUUUCAGAUGAACAAACCGCCAAUUGUCGUUCGAUAUUCUUUUUUAAAUGAACAAACCUCCAAUUGUCGUUAGAAACUUUUUUAGAAUUUGUUCAGACUCUUUUUCACAAGAACAAACCAUCUUUUGUCGUCCCGUUUAACAGGAACAAACCUCCAAUUGUCCUUAGAAACGUUCUUUAAGUUGAACAAACCGCCAAUUGUCGUUAGAAACUUUAAGAAUUGGUUUCAGACUCUUUUUCAUAAGAACAAACCAUCUUUUGUCGUCCCGUUUAACAGGAACAAACCGUCAAUUGUCCUUAGAAACGUUCUUUCAGAUGAACAAACCGCCAAUUGUCGUUCGAUAUUCUUUUUUAAAUGAACAAACCUCCAAUUGUCGUUAGAAACUUUUUUAGAAUUUGUUCAGACUCUUUUUCAUAAGAACAAACCAUCUUUUGACGUCCCGUUUAACAGGAACAAACCGUCAAUUGUCCUUAGAAACGUUCUUUCAGAUGAACAAACCGCCAAUUGUCGUUCGAUAUUUUUUUUUAAAUGAACAAACCUCCAAUUGUCGUUAGAAACUUUUUUAGAAUUUGUUCAGACUCUUUUUCACAAGAACAAACCAUCUUUUGUCGUCCCGUUUAACAGGAACAAACCGCAAAUUGCUGUUGGAGACUUUCUUUUACAAAAAAAACAUCGUUAACUAGAAUAUUUACCAUAAACAUUAUUUUGCAGAAAUUUAAGCGCUUUCUCGUUUAUAAUCAAAAUAUAGGAAAUGAACAAUUUUUUUUUACGAAAAUCUUGCUAUUAAUUAACGCGAAGGAAAAACAAUUCCAUGAUAUUUCUAUAGGAAAGUGCGAAUGUUCAUUCCCCCACAGUGGUUACCAAUAAAUAACAAAGUAGUUUUCGACAAACAUAAACAUAUAACUUGGCUUUGUAGGAACAGUCGACCCGCCUCCGGUCUUUCAUUUUCAGGCAGACACUAAAACACAAUUCCGGCAAUUUAGUUAUCAUUUAGAAAUUUCAGGUGACUUUAUGUCCUAAAUAAAACAAGAGCUACUCCGUACGCCGAAUAUUAAGUAGCAGACUAGUUGUUACGGAAUGAAAUUAGUCCAGCUCCCGGUAAUUAACAGAACUUGAUUAAACGUUAAAUAACGUUUCAUUAUGUUGCUCCACCGACUGUUUUAUACUUUGGAUCGAAUUAUACUGCUCAAAAUGCAGUGUGUCGGCGUCAAAAAAUUCGUUAUUAUCCAACUCAAAACGGAAACAGGAUUAAAUCCAUUUUUUGUUGUACAAAAGACACAAAUUUCAGAUAAGAUAUCGUCGAACCCUCGUAUAACCGAAUCGCGUGUUAAACCCCGUAAAUCUGAGUAUUUGUAUUGGGAUUCAAAUACUACUCACCGUUUUACAAAUUUUUUAAUAAAUUUGAUUGCAAUAAAACGUGAAAAUAUUCGGAGUUGGAAACCUAAUCGAAAGUUUUAUAUAAGACGCAAUGAUUUUUUUAUAUUUCUUUUUAGAAAAUUCUUUCAAAAUAAACCAUGAACAGUUUCUCGAUCAAUUAUCAAUUUGAAAUUUUCUUCUUCGAGGACUGUUUUGCUUCGCUGCUUAUAUACCUAAAUCUCGUCGAAACUUGUCUCGAGUCAUAACGGUGUAGUUGGUUAGGUUGUCUUAAACAUAAAUUAAGCAGAUUGUACGGAUAUAUUUGUAUCCAAUUGUUUAAGAAACUGACAGAUUGUCAAAAAAAUUCUAUUAGAACAAAAUAUGACAAGAUGGUAUUUUGAAACGAAAAUUUGUCACUUAUUGUUAAAUAAAAACAAUUUUUAUUCCUUA